AAUCUCAGAACUAUUUUCUCCUAAUACAGCGAAUAUUGUUUUAAGGAAAAAUUUUAAAAAACCCUUUUGUGGUUUUGUAGUUUCUCACUUUACCUUCUUGUAAUUUAAAAUAUAUCAAUUUGCCUCUCUGUAGUUUCUUUUUUCUUUUUUCUUAUCAAUUUUAUUAUUUUUUUUCUUAAAUCGGUGAUAAAGUUAAAAUUAAAGGGUACUAAAGUGAAUAUUUGAUAAAUCUAGAUAGGUAUCUGAAGUUUUUGUAUAUAAUUUAAUGAAAUAUUAACGAAAAAGCUAUCGAAAAGAUAAAAAUGAAACCACAGAGGGACAAUUUGAUACAUUUUAAAUCACAGUGAAGCAAAGUGAGAAAAUACGAAACCAUAGAUUGGUUUUUUGAAGUUUUUUCUUUUUUAAAAAGCAUCAGUAUUUGACCGACCUUUUGAGAUUCAGAAAUU
rnacentral:lncRNA from 1 species